rnacentral:rRNA from 1 species
UACGUAGGGUGCAAGCGUUGUCCGGAAUUAUUGGGCGUAAAGAGCUCGUAGGUGGCGGGUCACGUCGGGUGUGAAAGCCCGGGGCUAACCCCGGGUCUGCAUUCGAUACGGGCCUGCUAGGGUCCGGCAGGGGAGACUGGAAUUCCUGGUGUAGCGGUGAAAUGCGCAGAUAUCAGGAGGAACACCGGUGGCGAAGGCGGGUCUCUGGGCCGGUACCGACGCUGGAGGAGCGAAAGCGUGGGGAGCGAACAGG